UACGUAGGGUGCAAGCGUUGUCCGGAAUUAUUGGGCGUAAAGAGCGUGUAGGCGGUUCGGUAAGUCUGCCGUGAAAACCUGGGGCUCAACCCUGGGCGUGCGGUGGAUACUGCCGGGCUAGAGGGUGGUAGAGGCGAGUGGAAUUCCCGGUGUAGCGGUGAAAUGCGCAGAUAUCGGGAGGAACACCUAUAGCGAAGGCAGCUUGCUGGGACGUUACUGACGCUAAGGCGCGAAAGCGUGGGGAGCGAACGGG
rnacentral:rRNA from 1 species